ACGUAUGGUGCAAGCGUUAUCCGGAUUUACUGGGUGUAAAGGGUGCGUAGGUGGCAAGGCAAGUCUGAAGUGAAAAUCCGGGGCUCAACCCCGGAACUGCUUUGGAAACUGUUUAGCUGGAGUACAGGAGAGGUAAGUGGAAUUCCUAGUGUAGCGGUGAAAUGCGUAGAUAUUAGGAGGAACACCAGUGGCGAAGGCGACUUACUGGACUGCUACUGACACUGAGGCACGAAAGCGUGGGGAGCAAACAG
rnacentral:rRNA from 1 species